AAAGUUAGCUAGGGGUGCCUUUAUGGCUGAGAGGAUGCAAGCAUCUAACCCUUGAACCUGAUUUGGUUAGUACCAACGGAGGGAAGCUGUAUUUUAUGUAU
rnacentral:ncRNA from 2 species